rnacentral:rRNA from 1 species
AGUUUGAUCCUGGCUCAGGACUAACGCUGGCGGCGUGCCUAACACAUGCAAGUCGAACGAGCAUUCAUGAUGUAGCAAUAUAUGGUGAGUGCGAGUGGCAGACGGGUGAGUAACGCGUAGUCAACCUGCCUUCUUGUGGGGGAUAACUAUCCGAAAGGGUAGCUAAUACCGCAUACGUUCUUGUUGCCGCAUGGUGAUGAGAAGAAAGAAGUAAUUCGCGGGGAGAGGGGACUGCGUCCCAUUAGCUUGUUGGUGGGGUCAAGGCCUACCAAGGCGACGAUGGGUAGCUGGUAUGAGAGUACGACCAGCCACACUGGGACUGAGAGACGGCCCAGACUCCUACGGGAGGCAGCAGUGAGGAAAUUUCCCGCAUGGGCGAAAGCCUGACGGAGCGACGCCGUGUUGUGGGGAAGAAAGGCUUCGGGUCGUNAACACUGUCAGGGGGGAGGAUAUGACCGUACCCCUGGAGGAGCCCCGGGCUACUACGUGCCANCAGCCGCGGUAGAACUUAGGGGCGAGCGUUGUCCGGA